rnacentral:rRNA from 1 species
GACGAACGCUGGCGGCGUGCCUAAUACAUGCAAGUCGAACGCAGUGGGGACGGGUGAGUAACACGUGGGUAACCUCCCAUCAGAGGGGAUAACACUUGGAGACAGGUACUAAACCCAUAUGGAUGGCUGGACCCUCGGUGCAUUCGAUAGUUGGUGAGGUAACGGCUCACAAAGGCCACGAUGCAUAGCCGACCUGAGAGGGUGAUCGGCCACACUGGGACGGAGACACGGCCCAGACCCCUACGGGAGGCAGCAGUAGGGAAUCUUCGGCAAUGGACGAAAGUCUGACCGAGCAACGCCGCGUAAGUGAAGAAGUUUUGCGGAUCGUAAAACUCUGUUGUUAGAGAAGCGGUAUCUAACCAGAAAGCCACGGCUAACUACGUGCCAGCCGCCGCGGUAAUAC